GUUGAUCCAGGUUGCGGCGCUUAAGGCGGAGCACGCACAAGUGGCGGACGCGCUGCAGAAUAUGCUGACAAUUGGUGCGAGGUGACGGGCUGCUCUUGGAUGUCAACAGUAAGCUUUCGACCGUCGGCACGUUCGUUGACACCUGCCAGGACUUGUUCGACGAUUUCCUGGACGUCGACGGAUCGCUCUUCGCAAAUGUACAGACCAAUCCCAGCGGAGCUCCGGCAUCAACAAAUCCCGCCAGCUGCUCGGCGAACCUGAGAAAGAGAGCGGUGCUCUCUUCUCAAAUGAAGUUAGAUCCGCCCACCAACCGCUCGACAGCGAACCUGAGAGAGAGAGCGGUGCUCUCCUCUCAAACGGGUUCCGCCCGCCAAGUGCUCGAUGUACCCGGAGUCCGCCCACCAACCGCUCGACGACGAACCUGAGGAAGAGAGCGGUGCUCUCUUCUCAAAUGAAGUUAGAUCCGCUCACCAAGUGCUCGACGGCGAAAUUGAGAGAGAGAGCGAUGCUCUCCUCCCAAAUAAAGUCAAGUCCACCAACUGUUCGGCAAAAUAUCAUAAAGAGAGAGAGCGAUGCUCUCCUCUAAAAAGAGAAAGAGACAAAGAGAGAGAGCUUUGUUAAUGUUAGGGAGGCAAGGAAGGGAUUUUUAUCCCGCCUUAGUUGUCCCAUGGAUGUAAAAGAGAUAAAAGAGAUAAAGAAAAAAUGUGAGGAGACAAAAGAAAAUUAGUCGGAUUACCGAUUAAUAUUCUUUUGAUCGUCCUUUUAUUGGAAGAACAAUGCAAUGUUCGAAAAUAAUUGAACAAUGAUUCUAUCCAAGUUGAAUCUUUCUAUUUGGUCAAAUUGAGAUUUAAUUACAUUUGACAAAUAAAAAAAUGCAUUCGAAAUUUUCUAUGUGAUGAAUUUGAUUC
rnacentral:lncRNA from 1 species